GAUGAACGCUGGCGGCGUGCCUAAUACAUGCAAGUCGAGCGAACAGACGAGGAGCUUGCUCCUCUGACGUUAGCGGCGGACGGGUGAGUAACACGUGGAUAACCUACCUAUAAGACUGGGAUAACUUCGGGAAAACGGAGCUAAUAACGGAUAAUAUAUUGAACCGCAUGGUUCAAUAGUGAAAGACGGUUUUGCUGUCACUUAUAGAUGGAUCCGCGCCGCUUUAGCUAGUUGGUAAGGUAACGGCUUACCAAGGCAACGAUGCGUAGCCGACCUGAGAGGGUGAUCGGCCACACUGGAACUGGGACACGGUCCAGACUCCUACGGGAGGCAGCAGUAGGAAAUCUUCCGCAAUGGGCGAAAGCCUGACGAAGCAACGCCGCGUGAGGGAGGAAGGUCUUCGGAUCGUAAAACUCUGUUAUGAGGGAAGAACAAAUGUGUAAGUAACUAUGCUCGUCUUGACGGAACCUAAUCAGAAAGCCACGGCUAACUACGU
rnacentral:rRNA from 1 species